AAUUGGGCCAGAAGCCCACAAAUAAACCCUAGAGCUAUAGUGAAGAAGAAAGAGACGGUAGCUCCUCCACACUUCGCCUGGAAGAAGACGCUCAAGUUGUCGAUCAUACCUGACAAACAAGCUCAACCCUAAAGUUAUCUUUCAUGGAAUAAGCAAGCCUCCCAAAAAAGCUAAGAACCAUAAACUCUGACGAUUUGUAGAGGAAGUCGAUGGCCAGAGCUUCUACAAC
rnacentral:misc_RNA from 1 species